UGAAUCUCAAUUUGAAGUCUGGUGAGAUGACACAUGCCUGUCAGCCCAGCACUAGGGAGGCUGAGGCAGGAGGAU
rnacentral:miRNA from 1 species